CUAACACGAUACAGCUUUACAAAAAACGACACUUUUUUUAACCAGUGAAAUGAAAAUAUUGAUAACCAUGCACAUUUUGGCCACUACUGGGUUUACUACAUUGAGUAAAAUAAAAACCCAGUAAAUUUUGCAAAAAAAAUAUUAUUUUUAUUUAUUUUUAGUGGCGUUCUUACGCCCACUCAAGUUUGUUUGGAGUAGAAAACGAAUAAAUGGACUUUCAGUUUCACAAUACGACUUCAUCUCACAGCUUCUCAGUUCAGCCAGGUACGAGGACGAAUGAUCUGCAUUGCAUCGCACUAACUGCACUGCACCACAGUUAGUGAAACAAAAUAAAAUCAUAAAGUGCAGUUAGUGACGGAUGAAUACAGAUCAAACCAGCAAGUAACAACGUAACAUACAUAUCUUUACUUCUCCGUAUCAUCAAUCAGUUGCUACUAUUUAACUAUUAUAAGAACUUUGUUAUCAUUAUUUUUUUUAUUACUCGACCUGCAUUCAAUACCAACCACAAAUAAGUAAAGAAACGAAGAAAAAAAUUGAUACGCAUGCACAAAACAAAAAGUGCAUUUCUUCUUUCUUCCACUUAUUUCGAGAUCGAUCUCUGCACAGCGAGUUGCGUUACUUACAUUAUUUUCCUUCCAAUUAGAACAGAUGAGAAAAGAAUGGUGGAGCAGGAGCCAAAUUAAAAUUUCAUUUCAUUUUCAUUCUGAUUUACAUGGAUCAAACGACGUGGUAUUUUUAUACAUAUGUAAGUUUGGAUUAAACUUUCUGACUGCAUCUGCACUCACUGCAAGCAAAGUGCAGGUAGGAGUGUGAAGUCCCAUUGUUUUGUUUCCUCGAGGAGAUUUCUAUAUUGUUGAGCACACCGUAUGGGAUUACAUACAUACAUUGACCUGCUAUUUGUGGGGAUAAUAGUGCUUGGCUUGAGCUUGACGGAAUGUGGGAUUAUAUCAAGUUCAAGAUCGUGAUGUGUAGUGAGUGAAUAAUAGCAUACGUUUUGGUGGUGUGAGAUUUUUGUGCUUUGUUACAAAUAAAUAGUUGUAUUAAUAGUAAAUUAUAGUAAAAUGGUACUGGAAAUGGUAAUUUUGGUGAGUGAAGAAAAUUUUGAGAUCAUCGUAUCAUACAUGUUCAUGUCAUGUUUUCGAAAAAUAUAAAAUAAAAUAUAAAAUGAAACUGGCUUUAUAAAAAAGAAGACAAAAAAGACAAAAAAAGAACAAGACAAACCGAAAAAACCUUAGAGUAUAUCAUAUUAUGCUGUUAUUAUUAAAUACUCUAGAAAAAACCUUGGAAUAAGAUCUAUACUAAACGGUGGAAAAAAUCAUAGAGUUUGAGAUUAAGAAAUAUAAAUGGGAAGAAAAAAUUACAUCUUACAUUAAAUUUUAUAUAGAUCAAACGACAUUUACAAAAAUUGGAGUCGAAAUGUAGCAAAUUAAAAAUUUUGGGUUAUGCAUGCAAAAUUCCUUCUCUUUAAUUCAGAUUCAUGUCAACUUUACGUUUCCCAGAUUUGCUUGAAUUUUUUUCUUGUCAAUCCAGUCGUGGCCUCGUGGGUCGAAAGUGGAUUAGUUGUCCAACCGAUAUCAUUCAAAUAUAAAUCAAACAAUGAAAAAGAAGAAGCAUUAAUUUUCUCAUUCAUUCAUUCAUUCGAAUUAAAAUUAUUAUUAUUACGAGUUUCUGCCAUUUUACAGUAAACACAGGGCAAGCUGCAUAACUCAAUUACCAGUCAAACCAAUCACACCAACCAAAUGGUUUAUGUGCUUAACUUUUUUGUAUAAAAAACGAGAAAUUAUUAUACUCUUAAAAAUUAUUAGAUUCAUCAGAUUCACAUAAAUCUAUGCUCGCAUUACGACAAAUUACACAGCAACUUGCUUAUUUAGUCAUUUUGCGAGGAAAAGAAAACCCACUUUUCUCUGUAGUACAACAACAAUUAAAAAGUAUUUACCGACUCUUAAAUAAAAACUUAUUAUUUACGCUGCACCUGACGAAGAAUGAUAAGCAUAUCAUUAAGUAUACGUCUGCUACAUAAUUCUAUCGAAUUAGAAAUUGUGCUGCCUGAUAUGACAUUAUCAAUCAGAUAAGUUUUUAGAGAACCGGAUGGACAUGCAUAACAAUAAUAAUAAACGUAUUAUAUACAUAAUUCAUGUCUGAACAUCCGGAAAAACAUGAAUGUUAACCACAUUAUUUGCACAGUAAGUACUUACAUAAAUAAAUAUGUAUUUAUUUAUUGUAAUAGCCAAAUACACCACUCGGUCAAGGAAAGGAUUGUAGAUAAAUAAUUUUCAAAAUGUCAUGUCACAAAGAUUUGCGUUCACUUGCAUUGUAUUUCUUGACAGAUUGUACAUAUUAACUUAUUGUUUCUUUCUUGUUUUUGGUCACUUUUUUUUGACACGAGACAAACGAAACCACUUACUUAUCGAAGUAAACUACGAGAUUCAGAUAAACGUCAAAAUUUAUGUGUGGAGGAAAAAAUCGCUACGUUUUCAUAUGUAGUAACCGCUUACUUGAUGUCAACGUCAACAAGAAGCAGUCGCGAACGUGAGGUCAAGAGGAAUGGUGGAAAAUUGUGUAGAAAACGAAGAAACGUCGCCUCAUUAGGAGGAACAGGAGCCAUUCAUCACGACGAGGAGCGAAAUGGACUCAUCUUCAUCCUCAUAGAUCUGUCAAUCGUAGUAUUAAUGUCACUUUUCUCUUUUUCCUUGUCAGACCUACCAACCAAUAUUUAGAGUACGCACACACACGCGAUGCGCAUCCUCUUCUUCAUUUAAGCAUUAAAUUGUCUCGUCGAUCUUCUUCUUCGUCUUGCUGUCCUUUGACUUUUAAAUCCAAGAUAUGAAAUGCCGUGCAAUGAACCAAACCAAAUCAACGUGUGUUCAUUUAACCGUCAGAAAAAAAAAUUUCCAAUUGUCUCCCAUUGUUCUGUUUGAUGAACAUUUCUCUCGCCAGAUGCCAAACUAUCAUGCAAGCAAGCAACCGCUCCUUUUUGAAACACAGAAUAAUAUGUAAAGCAAUAAGUUGAUGGAAACAAUGCCAUUAAAAUGAAACCAGAGGAUGAGACGGAAGUAAAAGUGGACCGACAUCGGGGUGGCCAUUCUUCUUCUUCUCAACAAUACGACGAACUUGACAUUGCCAGCCACAAGGCAAGGCGUCGUAGAUACAUAAAUAAAUGAAAAAUAUCGGUGGUUCGCCUCACAAUUUUUGUAUACGAGCCAAAUACCAAUCAAAUUCAAUUUGGUUCGUCUGCCAAAAUCUCGAAAUCUUUCAAACACUUAAAAUUCUGUGCCUAUCACCAUCUCCUAAUGUGCAACCCCCACAAAAUAAUACAAGUUGGUUUUGUUGUUCGCCUAAAAGUUCAAGAAUCUUUGUGUGAUGAAAUGAGAUCAGUUACAAAUGUGAGUACCCACCCAACCAAGCCAAGUCUGACCAACAGAGACAUCAAGUUAGGUAUGCAUGCAUGCAAAAAAAAUCAGAGAUGAAUCAUCCUUGAUGUCUUCUCUAUUUGGUUCCCCUCCGUUCGUAGGAGAGAUGGUAAAUAAUGAAUUGACUCAUAAAAUUCAGCAGGAUUUGUACAACAAAUUGCUGCCUGCCAAGCGCUUAACAAACAACAGAGCGAUAAGUAUGUACGUACAAGAGAAUUAAAUGUUUAUUGACUUUUGAACAAAUGCUGCGUUUUUGGAGCUUCUCUUGUGGUGUUUUGCAACCAAAACGAUCAAAUGUAUGCAUGUAUGUACGAGACAUUACUUAAUCGCACCAAAAAAUUUGUGCCACACGACUAGGACAGAUUUUCAUAAUAAAUUUUAGAAUUUGGUGGCAGGAGGUACAGUUUUAAACCGGUAAUAAGUGUGCUUGUAGAUAAAUAGCUUAAGUGCUUAAUGGAUUAGCGGUGUUGUGCUGAUGCUUUAAUUGGUGAUAAGUUGAAAAUAUGCAGUGCUGAUCCCAUUAUAUUUUCAUAUUUACAUGGAGUCAGCAUUGUGGACGUGUGGGUGUGUAUUUUACAUAUGUAAUGUAAAUACACACUUACUUUGUUGGUACAAUCGGAUUUAGUAAAGUUUGUAAUUUCCACACACCAUUAAUUAAUCGCCUUCUGACUUAACUCUUGCGGCUAGAGAUGAACUUUUUUUCUUAUACAAAGUCCUGCUAAUGCGAAACUAGCACAAGCUUCUUAUUUAUUUACAAGGUUUGCUUUGUGCAAUGGAAAUUAGCCGAAUAAAUACAAAAUCAAAUUAAAAUUCUGCUCAUUAAACCGGUAGUACGAUAUGUGUAUGUACAUAUGAAGAAAUGGAGGUGAUUUAUGACUUGGCCGUGUAUAUCGAUUCAUAUGUAAAACUACUACUACACAGAUUGCGAAAUGGAACAGACAAAACCAAACAAACGAGAGAAUAAGUAAGAG